GUUCUGCAGGACUUUGGUGAGCGCAAGUUUCAUGUUCAUCAUAGCAAACCUCAUGCCGAUGCAGUUUCGGGGUCCAGUUCCAAAAGGCAGGUAUGUGUAAGGAUUUAUGCUGUCCUGGUUCUUCUUGCUGAACCUUUCUGGGCGGAACUCCUCAGGCUCUGGCCAGAGCUCCGGGUCUCUGUGAAGAGCAAAGACUGGCACCAUCACCACGGUCCCUUUAGGGAUGAAUACCCCUUUGAUUUCCACAUCUUUCUUACAGGCCCU